UGGCGGCGUGCCUAACACAUGCAAGUCGAACGCCCUGUGUCUCGCAAGAGAGGCAGGGAGUGGCGGACGGGUGAGUAACACAUGGGUGACCUACCCCCCAGUGAGGAAUACCGGCGAGAAAUCGCCGACAAGACCGCAUAGGGUCUCGUUGGUCGAGCAACGAGAGCAAAGUCUGGCAACAGACGCUGAGGGAUGGGCCUGUGGCCGAUUAGCUAGUUGGGGGGGUAAGAGCCUCCCAAGGCGACGAUCGGUAGCUGGUCUGAGAGGACGAACAGCCACACUGGGAUUGAGAACGGCCCAGACUCCUACGGGGGGCAGCAGUGAGGAAUUUUCCGCAAUGGGGGCAACCCUGACGGAGCAACGCCGCGUGCAGGAAGACGCUUUUCGGAGUGUAAACUGCUUUUCUGUGGGACGAGCAAGGACGGUACCACAGGAAGAAGCCCCGGCUAACUACGUGCCAGCAGCCCGCGGUAAUACGUAGGGGGCGAGCGUUGUCCGGAGUUACUGGGCGUAAAGGGCAUGCAGGCGGUCGGACGCGUUUCGGGUGACAGUGGGUGGCUUAACUACCCGAGCGGUCAAAGACGGUUCGACUUGAAGACG
rnacentral:rRNA from 1 species